GAUGAACGCUAGCGGCAGGCCUAAUACAUGCAAGUCGAACGGGAUCUGAGGGUAGCUUGCUACCCGAUUUGAGAGUGGCGCACGGGUGCGUAACGCGUGAGCAACCUACCCAUAUCAGGGGGAUAGCCCGAAGAAAUUCGGAUUAACACCGCAUAAUAAUACGCAAACACACGUUGAUGUAUUUAAAUAUUUAUAGGAUAUGGAUGGGCUCGCGUGACAUUAGCUAGUUGGUAAGGUAAGGGCUUACCAAGGCGACGAUGUCUAGGGGCUCUGAGAGGAGAAUCCCCCACACUGGUACUGAGACACGGACCAGACUCCUACGGGAGGCAGCAGUAAGGAAUAUUGGUCAAUGGGCGCAAGCCUGAACCAGCCAUGCCGCGUGCAGGAUGAUUGCCCUAUGGGUUGUAAACUGCUUUUGUACGGGAAUAACCCUUUCUAUGUAUAGGAAGCUGAAUGUACCGUAAGAAUAAGGAUCGGCUAACUCCGUGCCAGCAGCCGCGGUAA
rnacentral:rRNA from 1 species